rnacentral:rRNA from 1 species
GCCAACGUCCAUACCACGUUGAAAAAACCGGUUCUCGUCCGAUCACCGAAAUUAAGCAACGUCGGCGCGGUCAGUACUUGGAUGGGUGACCGCCUGGGAACACCGCGUGACGUUGGAU